rnacentral:lncRNA from 1 species
GCUGCCCUCAGGCCCCUUGUGAAGCCCAAGAUCAUCAAAAAGCGAACCAAGAAGUUCAUAUGGCACCAGUCUGACCCAUACGUCAAAUUAAGCCUAACUGGCGGAAACCCGGAGGUACUGACAACAGGGUUCGUAGAAGGUUCAAGGGCCAGAUCUUGAUGCCCAACGUUGGUUAUGGGGCAACAAAAAAACAAAGCACAUGCUGCCAAGUGGCUUCUGGAAUUUCCUGGUCCACAACGUCAAGGAGCUGGAAGUACUGCUGAUGCGCAGCAAAUCUUACUGUGCUGAGAUCGCUCACAAUGUUUCCUCCAAGGACCACAAAGCCAUUGUGGAAAGAGCUGCUCAGCUGGCCAUCAGAGUCACCAACCCCAAUGCCAAGCUGUGCAGCGAAGACAAUGAG